AGAGUUUGAUCCUGGCUCAGAACGAACGCUGGCGGCAGGCCUAACACAUGCAAGUCGAGCGCCCGCAAGGGGGCGGCAGACGGGUGAGUAACGCGUGGGAACGUGCCCUUUGGUUCGGAAUAUUCCCGGGAAACUGGGAGCAAAACCGGAUAAGCCCUUCGGGGGAAAGUUUACGCCAAAGGAUCGGCCCGCGUUAGAUUAGGUAGUUGGUGGGGUAACGGCCUACCAAGCCUACGAUCUAUAGCUGAUCUGAGAGGAUGAUCAGCCACACUGGGACUGAGACACGGCCCAGACUCCUACGGGAGGCAGCAGUGGGGAAUCUUGGACAAUGGGCGCAAGCCUGAUCCAGCCAUGCCGCGUGGAUGACUGAAGGCCCUAGGGUUGUAAAGUCCUUUCGACGGGGACGAUAAUGACGGUACCCGUAGAAGAAGCCCCGGCUAACUUUGUGCCAGCAGCCGCGGUAAUACGAAGGGGGCUAGCGUUGUUCGGAUUUACUGGGCGUAAAGGGCGCGUAGGCGGAUUUUUAAGUCGGGGGUGAAAUCCCGGAGCUCAACUCCGGAACUGCCUUCGACACUGAAAGUCUGGAGCACGGUAGAGGUGAGUGGAAUUCCGAGUGUAGCGGUGAAAUGCGUAGA
rnacentral:rRNA from 1 species